CAACUUGCUUGUCACCCAGUAAUAUAUUCUUAAACUAACAAUGACAUGUUGGAGCUGUAAACUAGAAGUUUUGUUUUUUUUUAUGUUGUGCACAUUCAGAUUUUCCUAAAUUUUACACAUCUAGCAAUACCUCACAUUGUUUCCAGUUUUGCAACAUCCAUUCAAUAAAAAUGUACUGAGGUCCAGCAACGUGCCAGGUACCAUGCCAGAGUGUGAGGAUAACACAGGGAUCUGCCCUCAUAAAACUUACAGUCAAACAGAAGAUACAGGCUUUAAGCAAUCAUUGUACGAAGAAUUCAGGCGUUUCUGCCACUGAUCUCAAAUCCCAAAUCACUCUGAAGCUGCUCCGAACACGUCACUGCCACGGGAGACCUCUCUUGGGAGGCGGCACCUCCCCCAGGCGUGCAGACAGGCGAAGGUGUGUAACAAGUGCGCUCGCGCACAACCGCAAGCCACACCCAUUUCCCUCCUCCCGCCCCGUCGUUUCUGGGCAGCCGCCCAGCUGCAGCGGCCAACUGACGUCUCUGUGCCUCGAGGCUUCCUCUGCCUGCCGCAGCUUGCUCUACCGGAUCAGUAACACCCGCCCCCUGCCACCAGCGGCGCCCUCAAGCAGUGACUGACAGGAGUUGGUGUAUAAAUGCCCCAGCAGCCUUGCCUCUUGGGGAGCUUCUGUAGAAGGCAGAACUAUUGCGACAGCAGUGGUCAGGAGCUGAGAGGUGAGGGAAAGGGAUGGACUACAAAUGGGAAAGAAGGAACUUUAGGGAGUGACGGACACAUUCUAUACCUUGAUUUUGAUGGUAGCUAUGCAGGUGAGGCUGUCGAUGACUCCAGGACUUGCAAAAGUGAAUUGAGUAACAGCCCCGAGGACUCAGCAAUUUCAAAAGUCUGAAUGCGUGGUGAAGACGCUGGUGAUGAGCUCUGGCCCCGGAUUCCCAGAUUCCCUCCUGGGUCCCCUGACUAGCUUAGAAGGAGCCAGAUGAACUGCGUUGAAAGGUUGGAAACUUCUAAGUUAGAAAGCGCCUCCUUAACAAGGCUUGCGUCAAACCCCCUCUCUUUAAGCAGCUGUGGCUGCAGUUUGAGUAACUUGUCAGGGAAGUGUGAAUUACAAGUCUGUAUUACAAAAGUGUUUAUUUUCAGCCUUUCCAGAAAACAGUGAGAAAGAGGGAAGCAUGCAUAAGAAAGCAGCCGGCAUCUGAGGCAGAAGUUUGCUUUUCCUUAUCCUCUCCCUCCUCCUUUCCAAGUCUUUAACCACAGGUCUAGCCUCCCCGCCCCCGCAAACCUGAGUGAAGCCCUCUGUAGGUUUGGAGAGGUAGAGCAAACAGGAAGAGGGCAGGUGGAGAGGGGCGGAGGAGCUCAGAGGGGCAAAGGAACAAAGGAAGUCCGGCCUCCCAUCCCGGCCAACCUUCCCGCCCGGCCCUGCUGCAAUGGAAUGAUUCACAUGGGACUAAUGGCGCAAUGCCACAAAGGAAACCCUUAUCAUAGAGACCUCCCUGAAAUACCCUUGGAAACAGCAUCCCAAAGAUCUCUCUGGCCUUGCUUUGAAGAAUGCGGAAAACUUUCCUUGUCACCAUUUGUAGAGCAUGGUCCAUGGUGAAGGGAAGGGGGGAACUCACACCAGUUCCCCUCCCCUGUACUCCAUCCUGGGCCCCAACUAAAACCUCAGCUUCUCUCCUUCAGCCUGUCAUAAGGGCCUCCCAACAGUCUUGGGCCUCCCAACAGUCUUUGGCCUCCAGGGUGGCCUUCCGGAAAGCAAACCUGCCCCACCCACUGAGCCUCCUCUUUAAGAUUUUCACAAGCCCUUCUUGCUGUGGAGAUAAAAUCCAGUGUACAGGACCUCCAGUAGAAGCAAUGAGUACUAAUGAUUUAAAAGCAUCCUCACAAAUCUCAGGAGCUGCAUGACUCCCUUGGGUGAACCUAGAAGGAGCUUCUUUACAAUAUUCAGAAGCCAUGCCUAGGGGCAGGACACAGGAAUCCCACCCAGAUGCUGGUGCUGUUUGCUUUAGGCCUGGACCUCCUGGCCUGUCCAACUCUGCAUCUCUCCAGUCUCCCCAGACCUCUUUGGUACUCAAGGGCAGCUGCCCUGCAGAGAAUGCCUGGAGAAGGACAGCCCCAGAUAGUGGAUCCCCCAGCCUGAGGUGGGGAGGAAAUACAGCAGCCCCAGGAGGGAUGGGGAGAUAUAUUCCCAAAGCCUUGUCCACCUGAGUCAUCAAUCAAAGCAGCUCAGCACGUAGUGCUGAGGCAGAGGGAAACAAGGAUCCUGAAUGGUAGAGAGAGCCUUAGGUUAGCCUGCAGCAGGAGGUGAACCAGGCCACUUCUGGAGAUGAAGUGAAAAGGUCUGAGGUAGCUUUAUAAAAGAAGGUUUAAGUACACAAGUAGCAAAGGAAUAAAUUCUCCUGAGAAAAUCCUGAAACUAUUUCAGAUGAAGCUACUGAAUUAGUUAGGAUGUAUUGAAUUGUAACAGAAUGCCCUAACACAGGUGUAAGCAAUAAAGACAUUUUAAUAUCUCAAGUAACCAGAAGUUUGAAGUAAAAUAGUAAUCUGCCUUGGAACAGCAAGAUGAUGUCAGGAUGCUGGACUGAUGUCUCCACAGUUCUCCUGGCCUUUCUCUCAUGGUCAUAAGAUGGUUGUCACAGCUCCAAGCAUCACAUUUUCAAACAAUAUCACCCCAAGACAGACAGGAAGGGGAGAGGCAGAACUCUGUCCACUACAGUCUCUGGUAUUAGAGCAAACAAAUACUUCCUAUAAGUCACCAGCGGACUAAGUCACAUGCCUACCUGUAGGCCAAUCACAGGCAAGAGGAGUGACAUGACUAUACUUGGUUUAGAUCAUGAUUCGAUGCCCGGACCUACUUUCCCUAAGCAAAUGCUGCCCUUUGAUACCUGAACAUAACCUGAAUUGUUAGCACCGAAGAGUUGGGAGGUGGGGGAUGGGAGAUGGCUACUAUUAGGCAACAAACAGUGUCUACCACUACCGAAGUCCCCUUUGACUGUCUCCCUCAAUUUGAACCUCCUCCCACCCUCCCCCCAGUGCAAACCACUAUUAGCAUUCCAGACUUUAUGUGAAUAUACAUACAUAUACACACAACACACAUUAGACAAUAGGCUCGGGGUAUUUCAUAGACGUGUGUGUGUGUGUGUGUGUGUGUGUGUGUGAUAAACUUGCUAUCCUCCUCCAGGCAUCUUUCUGCAAUU